CCUCCCCUUCCUUUCCUUUUUCCCUCCCCCUCUUCUUCCCCUUUUUUUUAAUUCGAUGAUACGCGAGGAACCUUACCCGGGCUUGAAAUGCAUUCGAUGGGGUCGGAAACGGCCUUUCCCUUCGGGGCGGAUGCGUAGGUGCUGCAUGGUUGUCGUCAGCUCGUGCCGUGAGGUGUCGGCUUAAGUGCCAUAACGAGCGCAACCCCUGUCGUCAGUUGCCAUCGGUAUAAGCCGGGGACUCUGGCGAGACUGCCAUCGUAAGAUGCGAGGAAGGUGGGGAUGACGUCAAAUCAGCACGGCCCUUAUGUCCGGGGCGACACACGUGUUACAAUGGGCGGUACAGCGGGAAGCUACCCGGCGACGGGGAGCCGAUCCCGAAAUCCGCUCACAGUUCGGAUCGGAGUCUGCAACUCGACUCCGUGAAGUCGGAUUCGCUAGUAAUCGCGCAUCAGCCACGGCGCGGUGAAUACGUUCCCGGGCCUUGCACACACCGCCCGU
rnacentral:rRNA from 1 species